rnacentral:lncRNA from 1 species
CUGCUGCUUGGCUGCAUCGACACCAUUCAUCAAAGUCAAAACGACGUCGUCACUGCGUACUGUUAAAUUACCAAAACACCCUUCCCACCUUCAUGAUUUUCAACCUAACAAGCCCUAUCUUGAGGAUGGGCAUUUUCGUCAUUCCAAAUUUACCUUCAAUUAUACAACUCGAUCAGAAUAUCCGUGCAAUCAUCAACUGGUUUUCCGCUGAGAUUGGGCCCCCACCAACAACCGGAUAAGCCUGUCCAGAUAAUGCCACGUGUCCUUCGUGUUUCGAUCUCCACGUGGCAUCUAUGAACCUCUUUUGAUCACCCACGUUGUGGGUCCCCCCACGCCUCUGCUGUUCGGAUAAACACUUAG